AUUGAGAGGCGAUGACCACUCCACUCCACUACCAGUGUCAACUCUCUCCUGUCAUGAAUGGAAGCCAUGUUUCAUGUGCCCUCUCUUUCACUGGUGCAUUCAAUGUUUCCCCUUCAAGCACUGUGAGUAGCCCUGUCUCUCCCUUACUGUAUGUAGAGUCAAUCACAUACACAAUCACAUUAUUACACAUCUGUGUGAUUUGAAUCCUUAGCUCUAUAGUUUUUAGUUUUACAAUUCAAAUCCUGUCCUGCACCCUGUGGAAGAGUUGAUCUCUUCUCCAACACCAUUCAUCCAUGAGGAGCCUGUCCAUGCACUGAAGCCUCUGAACACCUCAACCCCUAUCCUCCACUGAAGUCAAGCUUCUGAACACCUCAACCCCUAUCCUCCACUGAAGUCAAGCUUCUGAACACCUCAACCCCUGUCCUCCACUGAAGUUAAGCUUCUGAACACCUCAACCCCUGUCCUCCACUGAAGUCAAGCUUCUGAACACCUCAACCCCUAUCCUCCACUGAAGUCAAGCUUCUGAACACCUCAACCCCUGUCCUCCACUGAAGUUAAGCUUCUGAACACCUCAACCCCUGUCCUCCACUGAAGUUAAGGUUCUGAACACCUCAACCCCUAUCCUCCACUGAAGUCAAGCUUCUGAACACCUCAACCCCUAUCCUCCACUGAAGUUAAGGUUCUGAACACCUCAACCCCUGUCCUCCACUGAAGUUAAGGUUCUGAACACCUCAACCCCUGUCCUCCACUGAAGUCAAGCCUCUGAAAACCUCAACUAAUUCCUCAUACAAUCAUUCAAUCACUGCUGUGAUCCCUUCCCGACACUGUUCACCAGCCUCCACACACCCACACACAGAAACAAUCACCCACUGGGACAGUGAGCAGCCUCUUGGUCUAUCAGAGACCCUUGCUGUUUUCCACUCGUCUGCAGAGUGAAGGAACAGAGAGGAGAAGAGAAUAGAGAAGAAAAAAACCAUGCCUGUAACACCACACUGGACGAGGACAGGAAGAGCCUGGAGAGUGUGUGUG
rnacentral:lncRNA from 1 species